GUCAGGCACUGAAAGUGAGAGUUGGAGGAAAGCAAACCGGCUGGGUAUCGGAUUCAGCAACGGAGGGUGCUGCCGGUCGGUUUGUUUUCCUCCAAUAUCUCACCUUCAGUCGAUAGUCUGAU
rnacentral:pre_miRNA from 1 species